rnacentral:rRNA from 1 species
UCUACGGGAGGCAGCAGUGGGGAAUAUUGCACAAUGGGCGCAAGCCUGAUGCAGCGACGCCGCGUGGGGGAUGACGGCCUUCGGGUUGUAAACUCCUUUCGCUAGGGACGAAGCUUUUGUGACGGUACCUAGAUAAGAAGCACCGGCUAACUACGUGCCAGCAGCCGCGGUAAUACGUAGGGUGCGAGCGUUGUCCGGAAUUACUGGGCGUAAAGGGCUCGUAGGUGGUUUGUCGCGUCGUCUGUGAAAUUCCGGGGCUUAACUCCGGGCGUGCAGGCGAUACGGGCAUAACUUGAGUACUGUAGGGGUAACUGGAAUUCCUGGUGUAGCGGUGAAAUGCGCAGAUAUCAGGAGGAACACCGAUGGCGAAGGCAGGUUACUGGGCAGUUACUGACGCUGAGGAGCGAAAGCAUGGGUAGCGAACAGGAUUAGAUACCCUGGUAGUCCAUGCCGUAAACGGUGGGCGCUAGGUGUGAGGGUCUUUUCACGACUUUCGUGCCGUAGCUAACGCAUUAAGCGCCCCGCCUGGGGAGUACGGCCGCAAGGCUAAAACUCAAAGGAAUUGACGGA